CCUACAGGGGGCAGCAGUGGGGAAUAUUGGACAAUGGGGGGAACCCUGAUCCAGCCAUGCCGCGUGUGUGAAGAAGGCCCUCGGGUUGUAAAGCACUUUCAGUGAGGAAGAACGCCUGGUGGUUAAUACCCAUCAGGAAAGACAUCACUCACAGAAGAAGCACCGGCUAACUCCGUGCCAGCAGCCGCGGUAAUACGGAGGGUGCGAGCGUUAAUCGGAAUUACUGGGCGUAAAGCGCGCGUAGGUGGCUUGAUAAGCCGGUUGUGAAAGCCCCGGGCUCAACCUGGGAACGGCAUCCGGAACUGUCAAGCUAGAGUGCAGGAGAGGAAGGUAGAAUUCCCGGUGUAGCGGUGAAAUGCGUAGAGAUCGGGAGGAAUACCAGUGGCGAAGGCGGCCUUCUGGACUGACACUGACACUGAGGUGCGAAAGCGUGGGUAGCAAACAGGAUUAGAUACCCUAGUAGUC
rnacentral:rRNA from 1 species